UACAGAGGGGGCAAGCGUUGUUCGGAAUUACUGGGCGUAAAGGGCGCGUAGGCGGCCUGCUAAGUCGAACGUGAAAUCCCUGGGCUCAACCCAGGAACUGCGUCCGAUACUGGUUGGCUUGAAUCCGGGAGAGGGACGUGGAAUUCCAGGUGUAGCGGUGAAAUGCGUAGAUAUCAGGAGGAACACCGGUGGCGAAGGCGGCUCUCUGGACGGUGACUGACGCUAAGACGCGAAAGCGUGGGGAGCAAACAGG
rnacentral:rRNA from 1 species